rnacentral:rRNA from 1 species
GUUGAACGCUGGCGGCGUGCCUAACACAUGCAAGUCGAGCGGACAGAUGGGGAUUGUGCUCCUCUGACGUGACCGACGGACGGGUGAGUCCUACGUGUCUACCCGAUCUAUAGGAAUGGCAUAAGGACGGGGAAGCUGAUACAAUAUCGGACAAGAUAUUGAACGGCAGGGUUCAAGAGGGAAAGACGGAUUUGCUGACACUUAUAGAUGGAUCCACGUCGCAUUAGCUAGUUGGUAAGGUAACGGCUUACCAAGGCGACGAUGCGUAGCCGACCUGAGAGGAUGAUCAGCCACACUGGAACUGAGACACGGUCCAGACUCCUACGGGAGGCAGCAGUGGGGAAUAUUCCACAAUGGGCGAAAGCCUGACGCAGCAACGCCGCGUGUGUGAUGAAGGUCUUCGGAUCGUAAAGCUCUGUUAGUUGGGAGGAAGGGCAGUGUAUUAAUCUCUUCACGUAUUGACGUUACCAACUGAAUAAGCCCCGGCUAACUACGUG